UAGGGAAUCUUCGGCAAUGGGGGGAACCCUGACCGAGCAACGCCGCGUGAGUGAAGAAGGUUUUCGGAUCGUAAAGCUCUGCUGUUAAGGAAGAACGAGUGUGAGAAUGGAAAGUUCAUGCUGUGACGGUACUUAACCAGAAAGGGACGGCUAACUACGUGCCAGCAGCCGCGGUAAUACGUAGGUCCCGAGCGUUGUCCGGAUUUAUUGGGCGUAAAGCGAGCGCAGGCGGUUAGAAAAGUCUGAAGUGAAAGGCAGUGGCUCAACCAUUGUAUGCUUUGGAAACUGUUUAACUUGAGUGCAGAAGGGGAGAGUGGAAUUCCAUGUGUAGCGGUGAAAUGCGUAGAUAUAUGGAGGAACACCGGUGGCGAAAGCGGCUCUCUGGUCUGUAACUGACGCUGAGGCUCGAAAGCGUGGGGAGCGAACAGG
rnacentral:rRNA from 1 species